GAUUGUUAAUUUAAUUCUGGUUGGAGAAGUCUUUCGGGCGGGGCUACAUAGGGUUAUUAUAUUAGGGUCUGUUGGGGUUUGAAGUAGGCUCGUUUGUUUCUUAGUAGUUAGUUCUUGUUGUUUGGGGUAACCCUGAGCAGGUCGUCCGGGUAAGGGAUGGUAAAUACUCAGUGCCAGCAACCGCGGUUAUUCUGUUAGUCUCUGACUUCUGUGUGGAUUGGUUAAAAUGGUUUAGAGGUAAGUGUAGGAUUUUGAGUAGAAUCUUUUCUUGUUAGUUAAGUUCCUUUAGGCUCGUUGAUCCCCUAAUAGAGAAGAGGAUUAGAUACCCUUGUAUCGGGGGUGGAAGUUUUGUGCCUUAGUAGAAACUAAAAGGAUUUGGCAGCCGAUGAGGUUCGUCCGGGGGAAUGUGUAGCUUAAAAGAUAGUCCGCUUAUUAAUUGACCUCCUCUAGGGGUUAGUGUAUAUCCGGUUGAAUAUUCAUGAUUAGUGUCUAGGGGUGUUACUAUUUAGUUUAAUCCAGGUCUAUGUGCUGCUGAUGAGGAGGUGUUAUAUGCGUUACUGUUGGAAAAAGACAUAUAUGUAAGUAUGGGUAAGAUUCAGGACUCGGAAGUAGGCAGAGGAUGUUGAGUUUGCUGUGUCGAAUGGGAUUUAGUUGGGGCACACACCGCCCGUCACCCAAGGCGAUAGCUGUGGUAAGUCGUAACAUGGUAAUGCUGGGGGAACCGGGCAUUAGUUGGUUUGAUGGUAACUAUCAGGCCU
rnacentral:rRNA from 1 species